UACGUAGGGGGCGAGCGUUAUCCGGAUUUACUGGGCGUAAAGCGCGUUAAGGCGGUUGGCAAAGUUGGUUGUGAAAUCUCAGGGCUCAACCCUGAAAUUGCGACCAAUACUGGUCGACUAGAGUGUGAGAGAGGAAGGUGGAAUUCCCGGUGUAGUAGUGAAAUGCGUAGAUAUCGGGAGGAACACCAGUGGCGAAGGCGGCCUUCUGGCUCAUAACUGACGCUGUAGCGCGAAAGCGUGGGGGGCGAACCGG
rnacentral:rRNA from 1 species